GCAGGGACCCCUGGCCGCCUUUCGCCCCAGGCGGGCUGGGGCUGGCUACGGUUGUCUCCUGCACACGGCCAGCUUCUGGGACAGACCCGGCUGUGGGCUUAAACAAUCGUAGUAGUUAAUUAGAACCGGUUCCUCUUUCUUGAAUACCUUUAACAUUUAUCGCCUUGUUUAGUUUCCACAUCCACCUCCGUGAAAGAAUCCGGAAGUCAUCUGAGUUGGCUGUCUGCCCUUUUUCUCUGUACCAGUGAACUUGACCUGUGGCUGUGGCCUGGAUUUGGCAUUUAAACACGACUAACUGACUCCUGGUUGUAGAGAUGUCUUGAAGAUAGUAAAGAACAAACACAAAGUUCAUAGAAUGGAAAAGAUGGUUACCCCAAAUACAAUGAUUUUUGAGAUGCCAAUUGCAGUAGUCUCUCUCUGUCGCCCCAGCUGGAGUG